rnacentral:rRNA from 1 species
ACCCUAUUAUAUUUAAAUAAUCUUAGGUAUUAUUAAAAUUUUAAGAAACCUAUGUAGUUUGGCGGCAUUAAUUCAUUUUAGAGGAACCUGUUUUUUAAUCGAUAACCCACGAUAAAUUUUACUUUUAUUCAUAUUUUAUAUACCUCCAUCCUAAGGAUUAAUAAAAAUAUUUUCCCCUUAAUAGAAUCCUAAAAAGUUAGGUAAAGGUGUAGACUAUAUAAAAGAUAAAAUGGGUUACAAUAAAUUAUUAUUUAAGGAUAUAUUAAUAAAUUAACUUUUUAAAAAGGAUUUAUUAGUAGAAUAUAAAUAAUAUUUUUAUUUGAAAUUGAUUAAUAAUGUGCACACAUCGCCCG